rnacentral:rRNA from 1 species
CCUACGGGAGGCAGCAGUAGGGAAUAUUGCCCAAUGGGGGAAACCCUGAAGCAGCAACGCCGCGUGGAGGAUGAAGGUUUUCGGAUUGUAAACCCCUUUUGUUAGAGAAGAUAAUGACGGUAUCUAACGAAUAAGCCCCGGCUAACUCCGUGCCAGCAGCCGCGGUAAUACGGAGGGUGCAAGCGUUACUCGGAAUCACUGGGCGGAAAGAGCGCGUAGGCGGGAUAGCAAGUCAGAUGUGAAAUCCUAUGGCCUAACCAUAGAACUGCAUUUGAAACUGUGAUUCUAGAGUAUGGGAGAGGUAGGUGGAAUUCGUGGUGUAGCGGUAAAAUGCGUAGAGAUCAAGAGGAAUACUCAUUGCGAAGGCGACCUGCUAGAACAUAACUGACGCUGAUGCGCGAAAGCGUGGGGAGCAAACAGGAUUAGAUACCCCAGUAGUC